rnacentral:lncRNA from 1 species
AAUCAUCAUUUUGAAGGUGAGUUUAUAGGUGUGGAAUACCUCUAUCAGCAAACUGGCAAAGUUCUGCAGGACUACAAAGUGGUCAUUGAAGAGUCUGAGACCACUGAAGUUGAGAUAGAUGAGGGCUUCACAGGACAUGACAGUACCCACACUAGAGGCAGAGCAAGCACUUCUGGCCUCACAAGCAUCUGCAGCUGUUCCUGGUUCCUCAGCAGCUCCAUCUCCUCAGGCUACUGCCUUUGUGCCUCCCAUUCCCCCCGUUAUCCCUCUGUUGCCAGUGACUCAGUCACAUGUCGCCUCAUCAUCAGCUUCUGCAGCUCCUUCACCUGCUGUGACCGCUCUGCUCCCCCAGUCCACACAAACAGUUUCUCCUGCAGAACAGUCUACAUCAGCGCCAUCUACUGAUCCAUCUCCACACUCCUCCUCAUGCCAUGAUUCGGUUGGCCCUGAUAACAUUGAAGGGUAUGGCGCAGUGCAGGAUCUGGCUGAUUACUUGGCUGGACUAAGAGACCACCGUCUUGCGCUGACUCAGGAGGAAUGUAGUCAGGUCAUUGCUCUGUGGCAGGAACUGGGGGAGUAUGACAAAAAAAAAACUGUCUACCCAGCUCGACACCAGACCAGCCUGAGCAAGGGACGAUUCCGGGCUACGAAGAAGAUUGUGGCUCCAGGUGUGGAGAGCACCAAAAGGUACUGUAGGCGGUGCAAGGCACAGGAGCAGGAUAUUUUAAAGCAGGGUCUUCCAGCUUUACAGGCCCCAAUGGCAGCUCCAUCAAGACUUCCACCUGCCCUGCAGAAAGGACAAACUUUUACAUUUGGCUCUUUAGCUCACCCUCAUCCUUUUGUGCUGCCACCGAACACUGCUGGGCAGGCACAACUUAAAGGAAGACCACCAUCUCAGCCACCACCACCACCACAGACAUUGCUCUUUUUUCAUCCUGUUCCACCUGCCCCUCCAAAACCCUUAAUUACUUCCCCUCUAACAUUUCAGACACAGGUAACACCUCAAGCGGUUCCCUACACCACACAGCAGUAUAGGAAAAGAAAAAUGGAGGCAGAGCAGUCAGGUAUUUUUAAAAGAAAAUACACCAAAAAGAAAGACACUAUAGUUUGCAGCAAGUGCAAAAAGGACAGGAACCCUCCUACACAUCGCCAGUAUUUUGGCAACUGGUAUUGAGAAGAGACUGAGACUCAGUCCUAUGAUGAGUGGAGGGCUUUACUGGAGGAGCGCAAUUAUGGCAAAAAGUAAAUAAAGU